CGCUGCUGCAGAGACCCCGCCUGGCCCGCGGGCCGCGCCCGGGAAGGGACCCUGGCUCCCCAAAUCAAAGCGAGCUGUAAGGCAUCUUUAAAAAGCUCAGACAGAAGCGUUCGACGGAGACCCUCAGUCCUUGCUGGACAAGCCACUGCCACUUGAAGUUUUAAGGAAUGGUUGAAGGGCGCACAGAGGAACAUUUGGUUAUACAAAAGGAUUGAUUUUUACGAGAAGCUUCAAAAGACGCCCCGGAAAGUGGGACAAGAUUAUCUGUAAAUCAGAUAAGAAGGAUUCUCAAAGUAAAAGAUAUCUUAGUCGCUUACAUCAGAUGUAUUCCACUUCGCUCGCCAACAUGGAGUUCUCCAGGAGGUAAGUC
rnacentral:lncRNA from 1 species